UUAUUUUAUGAAUAAAUAAAUAAUGCAACCAACAAAACCAAGAAUGACUAACAAUCCUAACACAACCCUAACCGGUUCCAAUAACCAAAACAUUAAAAUAAACCAAACGAGUUCCUAGAUCAUCCUCUCUUCCUUGCCAUGAUUCCACGAUCACACUUUAUCUUUACCUGCAUAA
rnacentral:sRNA from 1 species